CCUUACCCACCCUUGACAUGUCAAGAAUUCUGCAGAGAUGUGGAAGUGCUCGAAAGAGAACUUGAACACAGGUGCUGCAUGGCCGUCGUCAGCUCGUGUCGUGAGAUGUUGGGUUAAGUCCCGCAACGAGCGCAACCCUUGUCAUUAGUUGCUACGCAAGAGCACUCUAAUGAGACUGCCGGUGACAAACCGGAGGAAGGUGGGGAUGACGUCAGGUCCUCAUGGCCCUUAUGGGUAGGGCUACACACGUCAUACAAUGGCCGGUACAGAGGGCUGCCAACCCGCGAGGGGGAGCCAAUCCCAGAAAACCGGUCGUAGUCCGGAUCGUAGUCUGCAACUCGACUGCGUGAAGUCGGAAUCGCUAGUAAUCGCGGAUCAGCUUGCCGCGGUGAAUACGUUCCCGGGUCUUGUACACACCGCCCGUCACACCAUGGGA
rnacentral:rRNA from 1 species